rnacentral:lncRNA from 1 species
CAGAGAGGGAAUUUCUGGAGUCAAGACAGUAUCUUGGUGAACUCUAACAUAGAGCUGUCAGAGAGAAAAGAAGAUGCUCUGUUCAAGAGCUGAAGCACUGAUGGGAUACUUCCCUGCUUCUUAACACUACAAGCCAGAUGCACA